rnacentral:rRNA from 1 species
GUCAGGAUGAACGCUGGCGGCGUGCCUAACACAUGCAAGUCGAACGGUCCCUUCGGGGAUAGUGGCGGACGGGUGAGUAACGCGUGAGGAUCUGGCUACAGGACGGGGACAACGAAUGGAAACGUUCGCUAAUACCCGAUGUGCCGAGAGGUGAAAGAUUUAUUGCCUGUAGAUGAACUCGCGUCGGAUUAGCUAGUUGGUGGGGUAAGGGCCUACCAAGGCGACGAUCCGUAGCUGGUCUAAGAGGAUGAUCAGCCACACUGGGACUGAGACACGGCCCAGACUCCUACGGGAGGCAGCAGUGGGGAAUUUUCCGCAAUGGGGGGAACCCUGACGGAGCAACGCCGCGUGCGGAAGGAAGGCCUUCGGGUUGUAAACCGCUUUUCUCUGGGAAGAAGAACUGACGGACCAGAGGAAUCAGCUCG